GCCUGAGUGGCUCAGUAGGUCAAGCGCCUGACUUUGGCUCAGGUCAUGAUCUCAAGGUUUGUGAGUUCGAGCCCCGCUUCAGGCU
rnacentral:tRNA from 1 species